AGCGAACGCUGGCGGCAGGCCUAACACAUGCAAGUCGAACGGACCCUUCGGGGUUAGUGGCGGACGGGUGAGUAACACGUGGGAACGUGCCUUUAGGUUCGGAAUAGCUCCUGGAAACGGGUGGUAAUGCCGAAUGUGCCCUUCGGGGGAAAGAUUUAUCGCCUUUAGAGCGGCCCGCGUCUGAUUAGCUGGUUGGUGAGGUAAUGGCUCACCAAGGCGACGAUCAGUAGCUGGUCUGAGAGGAUGACCAGCCACAUUGGGACUGAGACACGGCCCAAACUCCUACGGGAGGCAGCAGUGGGGAAUCUUGCGCAAUGGGCGAAAGCCUGACGCAGUCAUGCCGCGUGGAUGAUGAAGGUCUUAGGAUUGUAAAAUCCUUUCACCGGUGAAGAUAAUGACUGUAGCCGGAGAAGAAGCCCCGGCUAACUUCGUGCCAGCCGCCGCGGUAAAAC
rnacentral:rRNA from 1 species